AUACUGGCUUCAGUAACAUCUAUACAAAAACUGGAACAAUACAGAGAAGAUUAGCAUGGCCCCUGCACAAGGAUGACACCAAAUGAAACAAAAACAGUAAUA